UACGUAGGGUGCAAGCGUUAAUCGGAAUUACUGGGCGUAAAGCGUGCGCAGGCGGUUUUUUAAGACAGAUGUGAAAUCCCCGGGCUCAACCUGGGAACUGCAUUUGUGACUGUAGAGCUGGAGUACGGUAGAGGGGGAUGGAAUUCCGCGUGUAGCAGUGAAAUGCGUAGAUAUCGAGAGGAACACCGGUGGCGAAGGCGGCCAACUGGACGAGUACUGACGCUGAGACACGAAAGCGUGGGGAGCAAACAGG
rnacentral:rRNA from 1 species